rnacentral:rRNA from 1 species
UCCAGACUCCUACGGGAGGCAGCAGUGGGGGAUAUUGCACAAUGGGGGGAACCCUGAUGCAGCGACGCCGCGUGGGUGAAGGAGCGUUUCGGCGCGUAAAGCCCUAUCGGCAGGGAAGAAGGAGGACGGUACCUGACUAAGAAGCCCCGGCUAACUACGUGCCAGCAGCCGCGGUAAUACGUAGGGGGCAAGCGUUAUCCGGAUUUACUGGGUGUAAAGGGGGCGCAGACGGCAGCGCAAGCCAGGAGUGAAAGCCCGGGGCCCAACCCCGGGACUGCUCUUGGAACUGCGCGGCUGGAGUGCAGGAGGGGCAGGCGGAAUUCCUGGUGUAGCGGUGAAAUGCGUAGAUAUCAGGAAGAACUCCGAUUGCGAAGGCAGCCUACUAAACUGCCACUGACAUUGAUGCUCGAAAGUGUGGGUAUCAAACAGGAUUAGAUACCCGAGUA